rnacentral:rRNA from 1 species
UUUGCUCACACUCUAACCUGUUCAAAGGCGAAUCCUAACAACGUCAGCAAGCUGUCGUCACCAGGAUACCAAAGAGAAGCCAGGUGGAACAGCCCUAAAGGUAUUCGUUGCAAUCCUCAAUCCCGACCACCACAUUCCGCUAAAGGUUAUAACACUCCCGAAGGAGCCACAUCCCUCCAGCCUUUUUAUGACGUUCGAAAUUGAUGUUAACCAGCGGACACGAAAGUGCUCCAUUUCACCAAGAGUUCACGCUUCGUGACGGUUUUGAGGCUCGCCACGCCAUGUGAUC